GUACUGCUGAAGAGUCCCACAUUAGGACGAAACAGCCGUCCAGUAC
rfam:Trichobilharzia regenti genome assembly, scaffold: TRE_scaffold0004214